UAAGUGAAGCAAUGAUAGGUCAAUGAAAGG
rnacentral:piRNA from 1 species